GCGAGCGGGGAAGGCGAGCGGUGGGUCGGGGGGGGACAGCCUGGCCCUCGAUGGGGCGAGACCCCCCCCCCAGCAGUGCCCUGGGACUGGUCCAUACUGGAAUCAACUUUCUGCUGCUGGAACGGAAAGAAGCUUUACGGCCACGUACUGAUAGAGGGAGCUGUUCUGACGCUCGUUCCUCCUGGAGCCCAAGGUCGUUUUGCUCUUCCUCCCGUGCUGAGGAAGACUCAGCCCUGCCCAUCCUGGAGAGGUGGUCGUUGAAGGGUCCUGUGAAAGGGCUUCGGCGUCUUUUCCCGGGAGGAUUUUCCUACCGUGGUCCCAUGCAACUCCAGGAAUUGCAAAUUAACCCAAGACCAUCAUUGCCUCAGUGGUUUCGGAGCACAUCUGAUCGGUGGCUUUGCAACACGUGGAGAUAUUUCAAGCCGCGGUCCGUCCUGCCGCUGCAGUCUGUCUGUCCUGCACUUCAAGUCUGUCUGUCCUGCACUUCAAGUCUGUCUGUCCUGCACUUCAAGUCUGCCUGUCCUGCUGCUGCAGUCUUGCUGCCUCCUCCUUGCCAGCACAGCUUUGCCCGUUCCCUCCCCCCCCGGCAUGCUCCCCAGCCUGCCAACAUCUUUCCAAACCUGUGGUGACCCCGAGCCCUCAUCAGCACCGAGCAGGAUGGUGACCCCCCCCCCCCACGUCUUUCCUACUAUGGGCUGCUUAAUCCCCUUCUGCAUUUACUUUUUGCUACUUUUUUUUUUUUUUUUUUCCAGCGGUGCACAAGCAUCAUGGUGUUGGCUUAUUCUGCGGGCUGUGCUGUUACCUCCUGCUCCCUUUCAGCGCCAGAUAUUUCCCCCAUUUAGUAUUUCUGCACCCACCUGCCCUUAUCCUCUCGACUCCAGCCCAUUUUUCUGGGGAACAGGAUCCUUUUGCACCAUCAGUCUGUCCUCCAAAGGGCUGUAGCAACUCCCUUCCUCCCAGCAGCAACACCUGCCGUGGGACGGGCUCCCCAGUCCCCCUGCUUAGGAGACACGAACGCAAAUCGGUCUCACGGCUCGGGGCACCAGUCCCCUCCCAGCCCCUCCUGGGGACCCCGGGGGGAUUUUUUUCCAUGUUCCCCGGGGCACAACGUGUGUCACCCCAUGGGCAAGGACCGGCCCUGGGUCGGGCGAGAAGGGACGGGACCACGGGAGGGACAUGCCUGUUCCCUGUCAACACCCGCCGCCGAAAACUCCUCUUAAACACCAUUUGCUUAAGUCAUUUCUCCCCCCGACCUGCAAGCCUGAUUUUUAUGUACCGUGGUAAACGUUAUGCCUUGAAAAGACCCACACAUGAAUAAAAAAUCAGGCUGUCACUCUGCCGUGCUCCUUUUAAAGAGAAAUUGCUUAAAGCAGCAAGAAAAAUGUCUAAUCUUGGGACUCGGGGAGCCGGUGCUCGCGAACGUCUGUGCGAGUGGGGAGGGUGGGGGUCACUGCAGUUUAUGCUCGUGAAUAAUGAAUCUGACAUCGUAGCUAUGCAAAUGUAACCUAACAAGCUCCCAACUAAAUAAAAAUCUCGUUUGUUACGUCAA